rnacentral:rRNA from 1 species
GAUGAACGCUGGCGGCGUGCCUAAUACAUGCAAGUCGAGCGAACGGACGAGAAGCUUGCUUCUCUGAUGUUAGCGGCGGACGGGUGAGUAACACGUGGAUAACCUACCUAUAAGACUGGGAUAACUUCGGGAAACCGGAGCUAAUACCGGAUAAUAUUUUGAACCGCAUGGUUCAAAAGUGAAAGACGGUCUUGCUGUCACUUAUAGAUGGAUCCGCGCUGCAUUAGCUAGUUGAUAAGGUAACGGCUUACCAAGGCAACGAUGCAUAGCCGACCUGAGAGGGUGAUCGGCCACACUGGAACUGAGACACGGUCCAGACUCCUACGGGAGGCAGCAGUAGAGAAUCUUCCGCAAUGGGCGAAAGCCUGACGGAGCAACGCCGCGUGAGUGAUGAAGGUCUUCGGAUCGUAAAACUCUGUUAUUAGGGAAGAACAUAUGUGUAAGUAACUGUGCACAUCUUGACGGUACCCAAUCAGAAAGCCACGGCUAACUACGUG